GUAAAAGCCAAAUUCCAUAAAUUCUAAAGAGUUUUAAAACUACAAGGAUCUUUUUACUUGCUCAAUAAUAUGAAGAUUUGAGGUAUUUGGUUUGCCAUUACAGAUAGGAAGAGCACACGUCAGA